rnacentral:rRNA from 1 species
GACGAACGCUGGCGGCGUGCCUAAUACAUGCAAGUUGAGCGCUGAAGGUUGGUACUUGUACCAACUGGAUGAGCAGCGAACGGGUGAGUAACGCGUGGGGAAUCUGCCUUUGAGCGGGGGACAACAUUUGGAAACGAAUGCUAAUACCGCAUAAAAACUUUAAACACAAGUUUUAAGUUUGAAAGAUGCAAUUGCAUCACUCAAAGAUGAUCCCGCGUUGUAUUAGCUAGUUGGUGAGGUAAAGGCUCACCAAGGCGAUGAUACAUAGCCGACCUGAGAGGGUGAUCGGCCACAUUGGGACUGAGACACGGCCCAAACCCCUACGGGAAGCAGCAGUAGGGAAUCUUCGGCAAUGGACGAAAGUCUGACCGGGCAACGCCGCGGGAGUGAAGAAGGUUGUCGGAUCGGAAAAAUCUGUUGGUAGGGAAGAACGUUGGUGAGAGUGGAAAGCUCAUCAAGUGACGGUAACUACACAGAAAGGGACGGCUAACUACGUG